rnacentral:precursor_RNA from 1 species
CUGGCGGCCAGCUCUGACCCUGUCCCCCCUGAGGGGUCCUGUACUGAGCUGCCCCGAGG